GCCUCUAUUUAUGCCGUCGCCCCGCUCUCACCCAAAUCCUACAACAUUAGCCCCUUUCCUUGGUAAGCCCCGAACAAGGCAGCCGUCCUCGGUCUCUUCUCCGACGCCCAGGAAAUAUGAGCAAGCGUUCCAGUCGAACCCUAUAUGUUGGCAAUCUCCCCGGAGACAUCCGCGAGAGGGAAGUUGAAGAUCUGUUUUACAAGUAUGGGCCCAUUGUUGAUAUUGAUCUGAAGAUUCCUCCAAGGCCUCCUGGUUAUGCUUUUGUUGAGUUUGAAGAUGCUCGUGAUGCUGAAGAUGCUAUUCGUGGUCGUGAUGGAUAUAAUUUUGACGGUCAUAGAUUAAGAGUGGAACUUGCACAUGGUGGACGAGGCCAGUCUUCAUCAUUUGAACGACAUAGCAGUUAUAAUAGUGGGGGACGCCGUGGUGGUGUCUCGAGGCGUUCAGAGUAUCGUGUUCUUGUCACUGGUCUACCUUCGUCUGCAUCUUGGCAAGAUCUAAAGGAUCAUAUGCGCCGAGCUGGUGAUGUUUGUUUCUCUGAAGUGUUCCGUGAUGGUGGAGGUACUACAGGAAUUGUGGAUUAUACAAACUAUGAGGAUAUGAAAUAUGCGAUCAGAAAGCUCGAUGACUCUGAGUUUCGCAAUGCAUUUUCUCGGGCAUAUAUAAGGGUGAGGGAGUAUGAUUCUAGGAGAAGCUUAUCUAGGAGCCGAAGCCGUAGCCGUUCCUACUCAAGAAGCCGGAGUCCUAGUCGCAGUAGAAGUGUCAGCCGGAGCCAAAGCAAGUCUCCGAAGGCUAGAUCAUCACGCCGUUCUUUGUCGAGAUCUAGAUCAAGAUCUGUGUCUUCUCGAUCUCGUUCAGGAUCAAGGGGGCGCUCCUUGUCAAGAUUUGGACCUAUGCGGUGAUCUGGGGAUUGCAUAUUAGGAUCUUGAUGGGAUUUGGUGCAAGUGCCUGCAAUUCUUUUGGUUGUGUGAGGUAUGCUGUUUCAUAAGCGAGCAGCUUCGGAAAUCCAGAAAGCAUAUUAACUUUUAUGCCUUUUGGCCUUUAGCUGAUACCCAUUGGAGUUCAGUGGGGCAGAAAGGAUGGGUUGCGACCAUAGAGCUGGAUUUCCAUGCACUAUGUGGAAUUGGGACUCACCAAAACAGUGGUAGAAACAAGUUUCACCUUCGAUCUUCAACAUUAUUUGCGGUUGGAUUCUGGAUUUGGAUUUUGGUGGUAUAAUGAAAAUGAUACAUCUCAUCUCUAUUAUUCAUUACGGAUUAUUUGUUGCUGCCUAGGUUUUUAAAUUACUCUGGUCAUUGGUAGUUCUAAUUAUAGUUUGUUGACUUUUGACUAUGGCUUAAAUAUCACCGACCUUUUUAAUGAUAUUUUUUUACGUCACAUUAUUGGAUUGCUAUGCAUGUGUUAAAUUUCCUUUGAGAAUUGCAUCCUUUCCAAGUUUUUAAGUAGCCUUUUUUUCCUUUCAAUAUGGUAACUCUGACGUGGAAGAGGUGUCGAGGCUUUUGGAUCAAGCUGUUAAAGCAGCCAUGUGGAUAUUGAAUUGAGUUGUUUCUGGAACUUUUUGCAGAUCACAAUCGAAAUCCAGAUCACCCUUGAUUUCUCCACGCCGUAGCAAACCUGCGAGCAGAAGUCCAAGGAAGCACGGUCCUAGUAGGAGCAGGAGUUCAUCGCGUUCUCGAUCCCCUGCUGCUAAGUCUGAUUAAAGCUGAUCUGUUUCCCAAGAUGGUCAAAUAGGAAGCCACAUAUUUGUGUGGAUUGGGAAGGUUAUGGAUUACCGGAGAAAACUGUUUUGCUUGGCCACCAUCUAGGGCACCAAGACUGUUGGUUGUGCUGUUAAAAUUUGGAACUAUGCUGAACUUAUGUUAGGAAAACAAAACCGAAUGCCAGAAUUGCUGUUUAUUUUAUCCUCUCCUAGAUGACGAUUGUUGGUACUGUUGUAGUAGUUGCUUAAUUAAUACAGAUUAGACCUUUGCAUCAGACACUCAAGUAGAGCUGUUCCCGCCCCCGCUUUCACUUACAAAUUGUCAUUUCUGUGGGAUUGAUUUGUGAAGUACGGCGGCAUGGGUUUUCUUAAUGUGCUCAGGGAUCAGGAAAGCUUGAUGUUUGAUUCGUUGUGUCUCGGAGUGUGUAUGCUAUAUUGAGUUUCGAAGGCAAAACAAGUUUGAACUAUACUUUUCA